GCCAGACCUUUGAAAAUCAGUUCUACGCUCCAUCCUUCGUUAAUAAGUUUCGCGGUUUCUAUCAAUAUACUCUCUACACCUAAAAUUUUGCAUGAAUUUAUAAUUCUUUCAAUAAUUUUUAUAGGUGGAACGCCCGAAACAUCUAAGAUAGAGCUCAUGCUAAUUCUUUUAUCCUUACCAAAUAGCUCAGAGGCCGAUUGAAGAAUAUUUAUUCCUCUUCUCAGGUCUCCCUGAGAUAAAUUAACAAUAGUUUCUAAUACACCGUCUUCGUAUGAAACAUCUUCCUGAGAGCAUAUAUACUUCAGUCUUUCUAUCUGAGAAUUUGCCGAAAUUGGUUGAAAUCUAAACUUCGCGCAUCUGCUAGCCAAAGGCUCGAUUAUUUUACUAAUGUAGUUACAAAUAAUAACAAAUCUGGUGUUUUUCGAGGAAACUUCAAUUAUUCUCCUUAAUGCUGAUUGGGCAUCAGCUGUCAUCAUUUCGGCUUCAUCCAAAAUAACAAUUUUCCAUGAAGGAAGUAGAUUACCCGUAAUUUCAUGUGUUUUGUUGCACUGGACUACUUGCCUCGUCCAUGACUUUAUUUUAUCUCUCACAACACUAAUUCCUCUUUCGUCUGAAGCAUUAAGCUCGAGAAUUCUGUUCUUAUAUUCAUUCGGUCCAAAUAGUUCCCUUGAGAGGGCAAGCACAGCAGAUGUCUUACCAGUUCCAGGAGGACCAUGAAAUAACAAGUGUGGCAUAUUCCCAUUUUUCAGUACAUGGCUCAGCAUACUCACAACAUCCUUAUGAUGGGAAAUAUCAAGUACAUUUCCGGGGCGAUACUUCUCAACCCAUAAAUUGCUACUCAUUGUGCUUGAUUAACUAUCUCAGGAGGGUUUUCCUUAAGUUGUGGUUUUACAGAACAAUAAAAUGGGUAGUUAGGGGGUUCAGUGUGCGCUAAUUGAGGAAACACAGAAAUAGCGGAGUCGAUCAAAACGAAAGUUAAUAUGAGAAAUCAGGCCAAAAAUCUAAACAAGUCAUUAAGUUAAUUCCUUCAGUGCAUCAACUGCACGGAUCAUAUAGUAAAACGUUAAUGUUAGCUAAUAGAGACAAUUUUAUAAUGUGAAAAUUC
rnacentral:antisense_RNA from 1 species